UACAGACCUUUAUGUCACUAUGCUACAUUUAACAUCAGUCCCCUCAAGAUGUGAUUCCCCAUAGUUACCCCAAAACCCUUAUACUGCAAUCAGAGACCCCCCCCUCCAUUUACAAAGACCCCUGCUCUUACCCCUGAAGAAGAGACACAUUAACCAGGCCACUGACACCUCCAAUUUACAGAUACGAAAAUAGUCCUGAAAGUACUAAUUACAGGACCCCCAAAUGUUCCUAUCCUCUGCACCCUCAAGAAUCCCCCAGUGCCUUGUAUGAAGCCCACCCAACAUGGCCCACAGCCCCUCUGCUAGCCAGAUUUCCAGAAAAUUCUCUAUUUUUAAAGUAAUGACUUUCCCUUUGGGGGGAACCCAAAAUUUGGAGCCCCCAUUUUGAGACUGUGGAUCCCAAACUUCCAUGUGCCCCCAAGUGCUACAGCCGCUAGAAUACCCCAAAGCCCUAAAUUCCAGGGCCCCCAAGCCAUGGGAUCCCCAAAUUCCCAGGGAGUCCUAAAUGUAAAAAUCCAAUCCCAAGCCCCCCGGAAACCCCAAUCAUGGAAGUCCUUGUGCCUGGAAUGGAGGAGACUGCAGUCAGGUCAUGCAUCCCAGGCUACCAUGGCACGUUAAGCCCUAUUCAUAGGCACCAGGAGACCCCAAACAGUUAUGCUCAUCCCUGAAAACUAGAGGACUUCAAUGCCCUGACCCCCAAAGAACCCCAAAUCCUAAAGCCUCCAUCUCAUACAUGAAGGGCACCCCAAGGCCUUGAGGGGAUCGCAAAUCCUGGAGCCCCCAUUUCAAUCCACAUUCUGGUCAUAGGUCCAAAACACCAAAUCUGAGUCACUGACCCUAAAUGACCUCACAGCACCCAGGCCAGACUAGCAGGGUGAGGGAGACCCUGAAGGCCCAGGGAGUCCAGGACAGACCUGGGGGCCUCACUACCAAGGACAGCUCAGACUACCCCUUAACUGCAUGUCCGAGAACUCAGCAUGACCUGUCUGCCCCCUUCAAUAAAGACGUUUCUAUGGC